rnacentral:rRNA from 1 species
AUUGAAAGAUGGCUCCGGCUAUCACUUACAGAUGGACCCGCGGCGCAUUAGCUAGUUGGUGAGGUAACGGCUCACCAAGGCGACGAUGCGUAGCCGACUUGAGAGGGUGAUCGGCCACACUGGGACUGAGACACGGCCCAGACUCCUACGGGAGGCAGCAGUAGGGAAUCUUCCGCAAUGGACGAAAGUCUGACGGAGCAACGCCGCGUGAGUGAUGAAGGUUUUCGGAUCGUAAAACUCUGUUGUUAGGGAAGAACAAGUAUCGUUCGAAUAGGGCGGUACCUUGACGGUACCUAACCAGAAAGCCACGGCUAAMUACGUGCCAGCAGCCGCGGUAAUACGUAGGUGGCAAGCGUUGUCCGGAAUUAUUGGGCGUAAAGCGCGCGCAGGCGGUUUCUUAAGUCUGAUGUGAAAUCUUGCGGCUCAACCGCAAGCGGCCAUUGGAAACUGGGAGACUUGAGUGCAGAAGAGGAGAGUGGAAUUCCACGUGUAGCGGUGAAAUGCGUAGAGAUGUGGAGGAACACCAGUGGCGAAGGCGACUCUCUGGUCUGUAACUGACGCUGAGGCGCGAAAGCGUGGGGAGCGAACAGGAUUAGAUACCCUGGUAGUCCACGCCGUAAACGAUGAGUGCUAAGUGUUAGAGGGUUUCCGCCCUUUAGUGCUGCAGCUAACGCAUUAAGCACUCCGCCUGGGGAGUACGGCCGCAAGGCUGAAACUCAAAGGAAUUGACGGGGGCCCGCACAAGCGGUGGAGCAUGUGGUUUAAUUCGAAGCAACGCGAAGAACCUUACCAGGUCUUGACAUCCUCUUGACCUCCCUAGAGAUAGGGAUUUCCCUUCGGGGACAGGAGUGACAGGUGGUGCAUGGUUGUCGUCAGCUCGUGUCGUGAGAUGUUGGGUUAAGUCCCGCAACGAGCGCAACCCUUGACCUUAGUUGCCAGCAUUCAGUUGGGCACUCUAAGGUGACUGCCGGUGACAAACCGGAGGAAGGUGGGGAUGACGUCAAAUCAUCAUGCCCCUUAUGACCUGGGCUACACACGUGCUACAAUGGAUGGUACAAAGGGCUGCAAGACCGCGAGGUUUAGCCAAUCCCAUAAAACCAUUCUCAGUUCGGAUUGUAGGCUGCAACUCGCCUACAUGAAGCCGGAAUCGCUAGUAAUCGCGGAUCAGCAUGCCGCGGUGAAUACGUUCCCGGGCCUUGUACACACCGCCCGUCACACCACGAGAGUUUGU